UUCCCCCGGCUCACGUGAAGUUGUCCUCUCUUCUGUCGGCGCGCGGCGGCUUUCGGCUGUCGCAACGUUCAACCGCGUUUUUGCGCCCUCCGAAAGAAGGCUCCUAUUGGGCAGAUUUAGAGGGUAGAUUCGAGGUAAUGUCGCAUCCCCUGCCACCCUACUCUGACAAAAUGCAGGCUUCGACGUAGGCGAUGGACGGCGCUCGACUCUACGGGAGGGAGUAUAAAAAUCAUGCAUACCAACGACAUCGGUCAGGAUCGAAGAGGAAGUAACAUUUCGCAAAGGGAAAGCCGGAAGUUCAGCCGCACGACUAGGAAGUUAAACUUCCACCAGUUUCAUAGAGGCGCAAUGUCAAGUCCUGAUUAAAGGUCAACCAUUGAAUGAAAGUUUCGUCUAUAAGAUAGCAUUGUUGAUAAACUGCGCGCGAAUUCGCGAGAUACUCGAGUGUCAAACGCUUCGUGCAAUUAUAGUUUUCGCAUCGUUUUUUUCUUAUUGUACAAUAUACGCGAAAUACGCGUGCAAUUCACGCAACGUGUCGGGAGUGCCGUAUAAAGUGUCGCGCGUCGGGAGUGCCGUGUAAAGUGUCGGGCGAUCGUAAUUAUUCGUAUUUUCGCGAGUGUUGUGAGUGCUACGAAGGACCAAGAGAGGAGGAGGAGGCCUGGGGAGGCAUCGGGCAACAGCGGGGCAACUGUGAGAUCAAUGUACUGUGUACUACAACUCCGCGAUUGCACGUGUCGGCGAUCGGUGAAUUCAUUAUAUUAUGCCAUUAAUGCCAAGGUUGGACAACAUCUAUUCUGAGACUUCUUGUAUAAAAACAACAGAUGAAUGGAUGG